UACGAAGGGGGCUAGCGUUGCUCGGAAUCACUGGGCGUAAAGGGCGCGUAGGCGGCUCAUGAAGGCUGUGGUGAAAGUCCGGGGCUCAACCUCGGAUCGGCCGUGGCGACUCGUGGGCUGGAGCACUGUAGAGGCGGGUGGAAUUCCGGGUGUAGCGGUGGAAUGCGUAGAUAUCAGGAAGAACACCAGUGGCGAAAGCGGCGACCUGGCCUGACAUUGACGCUCAUGCUCGAGAGCGUGGGGAGCAAACAGG
rnacentral:rRNA from 1 species